AUGGGCUCGGAGGAUGGAGUCUUUAAAUGGACUGACGCUAACACGGCAGAUCUGAUUGCAUGGAGAGCCAGUAACAACAGUCUGUUUACAGGCAGGAGAAAUGCAGCCAUCAAAGCCUUUGAGCUGUAUGUGAAGGAGAAACAGCUGGCGGGGAAAGUGACGCCUGCAUGGGUUCGAAAGAAGUGGGAAAAUCUAAAACAGAAGUAUAAGGACCUCAAAAGCCUCAGUAUGGUUGGGGGAAACACAUCAAUUGCAACCUGGAAGUGGUAUGCAGUCAUGGAUGGAGCACUGAGUAGCGAGACCUCCCUCAACCAUUUCAUCACGCCUGUCCAAGUGUCCUCAUCUGCUCAGGAUGCUCCACCCAUCAAGCAGAGAAAGGAAGAGGACUGGUUGACAGCUGUGCGGGAGAUGGAAAAGAGACAGGAGGAACGAGAGAGGCAAGCUUCAGAGAGGGAGGACGAGAGAGACAGACGAGCUGCAGCAAGAGAAGAAGAGCGAGACAGACGGGCUGCAGAGAGAGAAGACGUGAGAGAGAGACAGACGUCGGAGAGGGAGGAGAGGAGGGAACGAGAAAUGCUUUCGAGACAGGAACGGUGGGAGAAGGACAUGCUGGCAAGAGAAGAAAGGCUGGAAAGGGACUACAGAGAAAGAGAGGAGAGGAGAGAAAGAGAAGCUGCUGCUAGAGAAGAAAGGCUUUUUAAGCUCCUCGAGACAUUUAUGGCCAAUAAGUAAAACUGUUACUGAUGCAUUCCAAGAACUGCUUAUUUUCUACAAAUAAACUCUUUUGCAUUGCCA
ensembl:lncRNA